rnacentral:lncRNA from 1 species
UUCUCUUCCCUUGUACAGCCAAAUGGUGAUAAGAAUAUAAACAACAACAACAAAAGAAUUAUUAUUAUUAUUGUUAUUAUUUAUUAUUAUUUAUUGUUGUUGUUGUUGUUGUUAAUAUUAAUUCCAAACGAUUAUUGAGGAACAAAGGGUAUGGUUUUAGUGAGUAUAAGAUGUGAGGGAAUUAUUUAGGGAGAUUCGGGGCAAGCGGAAGAAUGCCUGGAGAUGCUUUAUUGGAAAGAUGUAAAUUGUUGGGGGUGUGCAUGUCAGAAGUAGUAGGGAAAACCCUCGCAAGAUAGGGACAUAUAUCCCAAACAAUGGUAUUUUCCUAGCUUUGGAGGAGACAUUAUUGAAAGGGCACAGUAGUGUAAAGGACAAGCCUAAGACUGGAGGGGCUUUUUAUGGUUUAUAUUUUGGUAAUCUACUGCAAAUGGCUUCCCUCAAAUUUUAUCCCUUUCUGGGUUACUAAGCAUGUUUUGCUCUCUUUCUUUUGCACGUCAAUGACUAUCUUCUGAUUGUUUCCCACUUUUUUUGGGGUCAAGACUCUUUGAUUUGUCUGCCAAUGCCGUGCAACCAGAGCAAGAAUUUUACCUACAGCCUGUGGACCCUGGUAAAUCAAGAAAAGCUGCAUCAAUUUGCACUGUUGAUUUCUAUUUUGGAGGUGAUCACUUGUGGGACAGAUUCAGCGUAAGUCAUGAGGAAAAAGAUUUUUUAGUACAAUGACAGGGAUUAGAUGCAGUCCUACGCUUACCUUUGUUUGUCCGAUAAAUUGCAUUGAUAGCCAAUGUGGAGGAAAAUGUUUGUGUCUCAUUUAUUCUUCAGCCAGCAGUAUUGUCAUAUAGUGUCUUGGAGAUGCAAUUUGCUGCCCCUUUCUGCAAUUCUUCAGUUGAUUUCGUGGAACGCUCACAAGAAUUAUCCUUGCCAUUUGAAUUUUAUUUUAAUUGUGACUUUGACCAUAAUCCUGUGAUCUUUGUUUUUGUAGGUUUUUGUUUUGUUUACUGAUGGUUCAGUUUACAUCCUUUGUCCGAUUGUCCCAUUCAAAAGGUAAUCUUGUGUCUUUACUUUGUACUUGAAAUUUCAUAGUUGAUGUCCUAAUAUUACCUUUGUGACGGGAAGGUGACUGGUUUGCAUUGUUGAAUCACCUCUUAUCAAAAAAAUACAAGGUGGGGUUGCAUGUGAUAGACAACCCUCCCCUGAACUUUGCAAAGUGGGGAUCCUUGUCCACUAGGGACGCCCUUUUAUUCACAAGAAUUAUCCUUGCCUCAGUUGUUGACAGAUGCUGUCUCUUCCCUUUAGCUGUAAAGUUUCCAGUUCAUAAUUUGGUGUUAGAAUUACUGACACAUGUUAAAGGGCUUAGGGUAAUUUUUUUUUGUCUUACCAAAUUUUUGCUUAGUAAGACUAAUUGAGUAAUGUCAACUUUCAUCAACAGUGCUCACAAAUGGCAAUCUAUACUGGAGAUAUAUGGUGAUGCUCAUACAUAUGGUCUAAAAUCAACAAAUCCAACUGCUGCACGUAACUCCAGCAUGGCAAUAUCUUGGUUGGAAGCUACAUUUCCUGAAUUAGCUCAGCAAGAAGCAGAAGGGGCAAAUCUAGCUACUGUAAAGGCACAUCCUUAUGCAUUGUUUGAUGCAUCUCUUUCUUUACAGGUAUUUUGUUACUGCCCAUCAACAAUGUGAAUGUCCUCCUGAAUCCAUGAUGUGCGAUAAUAUUGACAGCUGACAGGCAAUUAAUGCUGCGAGAUGCAUGCAUGACGUAUACUUACUCAAAUAUCUACCUAGUGAACAUUGCUUGCAUAGUGAACAUCAUGUGCUCACACCCACAUAUGUGGCACACUGAUGUUGCCUUGGUAUAAUGCUAAUUUGGCCAAAUAUUUCCCUCAAAUAACUUUACUUGCGCCUAGAAUAUAUUUUUCCAUCUUGUGCUUUAUUUUUAGGAUGGUGCAAUGAACUGAAGAGAAGUAUUGGGUUGUUUUGGUCUUUUUUUCAGUAUAAGAUAUUAUGAUUCAUGUAUUUCCCCAUCAAGAUUGUGUGUGCAUGUGUGUUUUUCUACAAUCUGAAAGUGAUUUAGGCUAAGGGCUGAUUCUGUUUAUCGUUGUAUUGAUUUCCAGGGGCCUCUACAUAAAGCCUGUCAUGGAAGGGAAGAUGAUGUAGCAGUUAGGGGAGCAGAGUGUGAAGGCUGUGCAGUCAGUUUUCUCUAUAAUUUAGUUAGCAAAGAUUCAAUACUUGUGACAACUUGGAGUGGCGGUCAAAUGCAAGUGGAUGCCCUAGCUGAUGAAAUUCAGCCAGUUUGGAACAUAGGCAGUCCACCUCGUCUGCGGGUUGACUCCUUCGACCGGAUACUGGGUCUUGCUAUGAUUUGCGAGUCAAACUCUGAGGAGCCUUCCAAGUGGAAUAUUAACAAACCAUUAGAACACACGAUUUGGUUAGGGCAGCCUCCUCCUUUGCUAAGAUUGGCAAUCGUGGAUUUGGCUUUGCCUCAACAGACCAAUAGUGAUGCGCGAAUUAUGAUGUUUGCUGACCCCCUAGUGCCAGAAAGGAUCUAUGCUCUUCAUUCUGGAGGAAUUGAUUCAAUAGUAUUGCAUUUUCUCCCCUUUACGAGUCAAGCAAAUGGCAAGGAGGAAGUUGUUAGAACACCCUCCAUAAAUCCUGUUUUGAGCACCUGCCUUGAGGAAACAUCCUCGCCAGCUCCUCUUUGUGGUUCUCUCUCAUUAUCUGAUUCAUUUGGUUAUUCAUGGAUUGUUGGAGUUACUUCCAGUUGGGAAUGUAUUGUUGUAGAGAUGAAGACUUGGGAUGUCUUGCUUCCUGUUAGUGUUGAUCCAGAGAAGAAAGAUAUUAGCCUGGAAAAGUCAAAGGAGAUGGAAACUCCUGCUAUGAUCAGCAAAGAACUUAUUAAUGGUCCUAAAGUGGUUCUUGUUCCCCAGACACCAUCGAAUCUGCGAUCUGUUGCUGCUGAUUCUAUUGAAGGCCGGUCAAUCCUUCAUCAGUACUUUAAGAUUUUCCAUGAGAAUUAUGUGGAAUAUGCACAUAAGGUAAGAACAUAUUCUUUAAUUCUAUGAAAGAGAAUUGUGGGUUAAUUGGACCUUUGGCGUUUCAUUAAGUAGGUUGGCAUGCUCCUUUUCUUCUCUUUCUUGGAGGCGCAUUUUGGGUUGGUUGUGGCUUUUAACUGUAGUUCUAUCUUUUGACUUUAUCUGUCUUGGAAUUAAGGAUCUGGUUUUAUUUAUAACGAGCUUGUUAGUUUAGCACUAAACAUAAGCAAGAAAUUUUCCUGCCAAAAUUCAAAGAUUGUCCAAAUAUCAAAAUGUUUUAAGAAGCUAUGCACGAAUUGACAUGUCAAUGGCAUUAUGUUUUGAAGGUUCAAAUGUUUUGAGUUGAAAAAAGUAAAAGCCCAUGUAUAGUAAGAUUUAGAUUAAGCAAAAGGCAAAAUGUGAAAGUCAAUCUAGACUUGAUGGCUUAUUGAAUUCUUUUAACUAUGUGCAAAGUUAUAGACAUUCACAUUUGAAGUCACUUUUUCCACUAAAUGUCAUACCGUGAAAGUCAUCUAGCUUGUAUGGCAGAAACCCUAUUUGUAAGCCUCCUGGAAACCGUUUCCUUUGUGCUUGUGUGCAUAUUGGUGCAUGACUGCCUAAUGUUUUGCAAAAGAACUUUUUGAGGCUCCGCUUUGCAUAUCCUUAAUUUUCAGGAUUUUUCCCUGGUUGGCUUCAUUUAGUUUACCAGCCUAAUGUCAUACAUAUACUUUUGGACCUGUCAUAAAGUUGAGGCACAUGGGAGGCUUUUAGUCGCUAGCUCAUUGGCAGGAAGAUCGAGUCACUGAUGACUACGUAAAUCUUAUCUUCCAGGUUCACUUUGAGCUUAAGCAUCAUGCCCCUCAGCUAAAGCGAAUAAUUGAUGACCAGCAUGCUCGUUUAGUUGAGGCACAGGAGAGGCUUUUGAAAGUUGAGAGAAAGCAGGCAGUGUUGGAUGAAAGGAUAGAUCAUGCACUCCAGCAGCAUGAGAUUCUGGAUGAACGUUUAAAAUGUUUAAGGAAGCUACCUGUAGCUCACAAGAAACCACUCUCUAGGGCUGAGCGAGACUUCAAGUCCGAGCUUGGUAAUCAAUACCUUUACAGCUUCUUAAAUCUUUAAUCCCGAGUCAUCAACUGUUUUAUUUGCUGAGAUCAAAGAGAUAAAUUACUCGCUUAUCAGUUUCAUUUGAUACCAGUAUGUCAUGGUUACUCGUUGUUUUCUGCAGUUAUACCUGUCGAGUUGAUUCGAACCCCUUGUUUUUAUGAAUCGCAUUUUUUGCGGUUAUGCAGACCAUUUUGCAGGAGUGGAGUUGGAUGCUUUGCAUUCAUCUAUAGAUUCUAUAUCUACCCGGCUACGGAGGUACACUCAAUCAAUAAAGAAAGAGCAGACAUCAAGGAAGAAGUCUCUUGUUCAAGACAACCAGAUCUCUCAACUAAAAUCCUCCCUCGAGAAACUUUCCCUUGUCAACAGCGACAACUUGAAAAAGGUCAAAGUCGUUGAAAAAGCUAUAAGCAACAAGGAGAAGCAGUAGUGCAUUUUCUCUGCUAGAAUCACUCGGGAAGCGUCCUGGCGACGAACGUGACAAUUCAAUAUCUCAAAGGGACGGAUGCCUUGUCAUUUUGCUCUGGAGGCGUCUUCAUGAUCUAUACCAGUCUCUGCAAGAUGGCUGGCUUUCGAUUUGGGUCUACAUUUCGUGGAAUGAUCGGCAGGCUUCUUUUGUGCUGCAUAUAAUUAUUCUGUAGAAUACAAGCAAUGUAUCAAAGCCAGCUAGACUCAAAAGCACUUUACAAGCGCUGUUAACUAUUGAUUAAAUCUUUCAUAAGAUGUGAAAUCCAUAUCUUAGUGAGGUCUAGCAUGACCCAUCUAUCUUUUGAGUGAUUUGAUUUUUUCUAGUACUAUUCUGACUAUACUACCAAUGGAGCGCAAUGAUCAUGGUUUUAAAAUCGUGCGAGGUUUUAAAAUUGUGCAAUGACCAUAAUUUUAGAAUUAGUGGAAUGGAAUGGGUUGGAUAGUCGUUGCUUGUUUCGUGUACUCAACGAGCAAAGUUUUAAAAUUGUGCUUGUCAGUAUCUGUCUUCCCAUCUCUCCCCGUCUGCUUCAGAAGUGCCCCGCAAGUUUCUUCUUGGUGGUUGCGAUAGUUCGUCCAUUGACCGAGAAACCAUCUCAACCUCAACGAGCAAGAUGAGCCAAUACGAAAUCGAUGUCAUUUUGUCGAACGCCUGAACCUUAACGAGCAAGUUGAGCAAAUUACAUACAUCUAAUCGUGUAAGAGUUUCAACAAACUUUAAGCCUAAUGAGCUGUGCGGGACUGCCACUAGUGUGUAGGGCAACCACGGAUCCAUAGAGACCAUCCUUGAUGUAGAUCAAAGUCUUGUGCUUUCCUUGCUCAGCAAUAACUCCGCUUUUAAUUACCACGAUCACAUCUGCAAUCUUGAUUGUGGAUAACCUAUGAGCCACCACGCGUGUGGUUCGGUGCACCAUGACGCGGUCCAAUGUCUCUUGAACCGUCUUCUCAGAUUCUGUAUCUAGCACACUCGUAGCCUUGUUAAGCAGAAAUCUUUUUAUGGCUUUUAACUAAAACGCAAGCAAUAGCCACUCAUUGCUUCUGACUGCCCGACAGAUGAGCCCCUCUUUCACCAACCAUUGUAGCAUAUCCCCGAACGUAAAAUUCGUACUGUAAAAAUCAAAUAAGCCCAUUUGAAAGCAAAUGUAAGUCAUGCACACGGAAUAAAUAGCGACUGUCUAACCUGUUGCAAUCCACUAAUGAACACGUGGGCGUGUGCUAAUUCUGAUGCGGCGAGUAUUUCUUGCUCGGCUGCAUCUCUAUCCUUUCCAUAAGCUGUGUUGGCCCGAUUUGUCUCGUUGAAUAAAACCGAUUCUUGGCUGAUCACACCCAUUUGCUGCCUCAACCACUUGAGUUGCAGCUACCGAAUAUCCACUCCGUCGAGUGUAAUGCGACCAAAAUCAGGAUCACAAAAGCGUUGCAGCAGCACUAUCACUGUUGACUUUCCACUCUCACUUUCCCACUUUCCCACUUUCUCUGACCAAAGCAACAAUCUGAGAGGAACAAUCGCGUAAUUGUCAAACCUUUUGUUCCUCGUGUUCAGGUGAUCGAAACACUAGUGUUAUUCUCGUAAUUCAAUGCUCAGUUGAUGAAGUCAUAUUUAAAGUUAGGCAUCAGAUAAAGUCCGAAGUUUUACCUUUCCGCUGUAAACGGCCAGGCUGAGAUCACAGAAUAUUUGAAUGUCCGGCCUAGAGGUAUAUUUGAAGCUGACAUGGCGAAGCUCAAUCAACCCUUCACAUUGUCUUGUGUCUAUCUUGGAUUUGCGGUCUAUCAUUGCUAAAAUGGAAGCAGCAAGUAACACCUGUGACUUUGAUGGAAUCGGCAGUGAAGGAACUUGAUUGUGAAAUUGCACUGGCUGCCACGGUCAGAGCCAAAAAAAGGAAAAAAAAGAAAAAGAAAAGAAUAAAAAAAGAGGAGCCUGCAGUUACAGAACCUGUUAUGUGUUGCCGUUCGAUAAUCAUGGUGAGUCGUUACUUCGUGAUCAUCUUCACAACAGGUAUGAAGAUGAUCACGAAGUAACGGCUCACCAUGAUUAUCCAAUGGCAACACGCAGUAGAGAUUCACAAUGUGCUUGCUGUGAAUAUUGAGAAUGACGAUUUCAUUGCCUAAAUAGAGAAUUUCUCAAUGCUCUAAAGUGAAGGUUUUUUGGCUUGCAUUAGGAGAGUUCUUUACUAAUGUACUUCUAUUCUUCGGCGAGGAAUCAUAGGGACCCCGCAAUCACAUUUGAUGUUUGUCCAGAAUUUGGUAAUGUUUUGGACGCACAUCCUAAUUAAGUUAGACAAAUUCACGUUCAAGUCGUGCUUGAUCUUCUUUUCUUGUAUUCAAGGGCAAACAAUGGUUGAAUGAAUUGAUCUCAAUGGCAUCUAUGUCUCAUAAGAAAAAGAAACAUAUAAAGAAUAAAGUACAUAAACCAAAUCAUACAUAUAUUAAGAAUUCUUGAUGAGGCUAGAGAUAACAUGUAUUUAAGAGUGACAAAAAUAGCCAAGGAUCACUUAAUAUUAUAGAUGAUGAUUGGUACAUUUGGUAAUAUCUAGAAUUAAUCGAAUGGAAGUUUACGUCAAGACGAUUGGAAAUCUCUGCAGAAAAUGGAGCCUAGCCAUGUUCAUUAUGUCACUUCAUUUUCUUUAUUAAAUCUAAAGUUGGAGAAGAAAACACAGGACGGGCAUUGCUCGAAGACUAAAGGUCAACUUAAACUACUAACCUUGGAUGCCAUAGCAAAAGACUGGCAUGCAUCUAGUUAGUUUAAUUCCGAGUCAUCAGUUGUAUUGUUGGCUGAGAUCACGGAGAUAAAUUGCUCAAAUCUCAGUUCCAUUUGCCACCAAUAUGUCAUGGUCACUAGUCGGUUGUCUGCAAUUAUACCUGUUGAGUUGAUUUGCAGUCCUUGUGUUUAUGAAUCACAUUUUUUUGCGGUUAUGCAGACCAUUUUGCGUGAGUGGAGUUGGACGCUUUGCAUUCAUCUAUACAUUCUAUAUCUGUCUAGCUAUGAAGGUAUACUCGAUCGAUAAUGAAAGAGCAGACAUCGAGCAAGAAUUCUCUCAUUCAAGACAACCAUAUCUCUCGACUGAGAUCCUCCCUCGAGAAACUUUCCCUUGUCAACAGCGACAACUCGAAGACGGUCAAACUCACCGAAGAAGCAAUAAGCAGCAAGGAGAAGCAAUAGCGUGUGUUCUUUGCUAGAAUCGCUUGGAAGCAUCUCGGCGACCCACAUGACAAUUCGAAAUCUAAAAGGGAGUGAUGCCCCUCAUCUUGCUCUGUAGGUGUCUACAUGGCCUAAGCCCUAGGCCGCUAGUACAAGCGCAGUUAACUGUAGAUGAAUCUUUCAUGGGUUAUGAAAUUCAUAUUUUUAGUGAGGUCUAAGCGUGACCCGUCUAUCUUUUGAGCAAUUUGAUUUUUCCUAAUAGAACUAAUCAAGACAACACUACGCGAUGGAAAGCACUGGCCAUAAUCUUUGUCCUUUACCCCGUUCCUUCCUGCAUUCUUCUCUGGACGUGCAUAUUCCAUUCAGAUUGAUUGUCUUUGGGAUUUUGGAAAUAAAGAAAUCUCUCUGGGGCUUAAAUGCUUGAUCGAUGCAGUCGACCGAGUGUGGUUGAAUAAAGUCAUAUUUGCUUCUCACAUGUGGCAACAUAAAAGCGGAAGUAGGAUUUUUAGGGGCAAAAUGCAGGCACUAACGAGGGUAGAUAGAUAAGAUAUUCAUUACUCCACCAAAAAAAGAAAGAAGGGUUGAUAUUCAUGUUUGCUAGUGCUUCAAGAAUCAUCACCACAAACUCCUCUCUCCCUCUCCCUCCCCCCUCCCCCCAAAUGCACGUGCAUUGUAAAUAGUGGCUAUUGCUCUCAGCGGCGAGCCAGAUCGAAUGAACGAAAUAAUCUCAAGAGUUGCUUGCUAUGUUACAUUAUAAGUGACUUGAUUUUUAUCGGAUCCAAUAAAUUGUAUCCCCACUUGCAUCUUCUAUUCUAAACCACUAGCUUCGCCCAUUCGCACCCAGGACAGUUUUGCUCCCCCCUAUGUACAUUGCCCGAACGCGUCGCAUCGACGAACAUAGAUGGGGUACGGCUUCUGCAAUCACGUCGUCGGGAAGAAAAUAACUUAUUCUUCCCUUCCGCUGGCACCCAACUGUCACGCGAAAUGAAGGGUGAGUUUGCCAUCGUUAACCUUCAUUUUCGCUUGAGGGGAAAAGAAAUGUAAGCAAAGAGGGGUGCCGUAUUUAGUACCUGAAGCGAGUAACUAGUUGGUGAAGGAAUACGGAUGUCUCUACUCUAGCUAGCUCCCAUGCGGGACAGAGUCAAGGCCGUCCUUCGAAUGGCGUAAAGUUGUUUCCAGGGGUUGGCGAGCGAGAAUUGCUCUGCAUAUAAUUCAUAGUUAUCGAUCAGUCAAUUGAAGAUAGAUCAUUUUUUUCAAGGUCGAACCAAGAUCCGCAGGAGCAGAGAGAAGGACAGGGCAAUACCUGCCAUCUCUACGGGUUAAAAGCUCGAGCUUCCUCGAAGCGAUCUUGAUCUAGAUGCACGGUGUGAAACGAAGUGAAUGCUUCCCACCCUUUAGGUAUCCUCCCUGCAUGAACAGAGAUAACCCAGCGAAUUAGAUCAAUCGGCCCAUACCAACAUGGAACCAAAUCGAGAAAAUUCUCCUUUACCUUUCACGUUGACAUCCGUCAUCGCCUCCCUGAAUCCCUUUCUAAUGAUGUUCGCAACCCGCAUCGUCUCAUUGAUAACCUGAAAACACUUGCAUAGCACAGCGUUAAAGCUAGGAAGCGUCACGCUUUUGCCAAACCCAUGGCCACGAGAAUGCCGUUGGACUUGCGCAUUGCGUGAAAGGCAUAGGCCUGAUAGUCAUUCCAGUCCGGACUCUCGCAACGAUAUUUCUUCGCUCUGAUCUUGUCAUGCUCUUCCUGUCAUCCAAAGACAAAGAUGUCGUCAUCCAUGGGAUCGAAAAUUAAAGAUAUAACUCUUAUCCGAUAUCUUCUGAUCAAGAAAAAGAAAAGAAGAGAAAAACAUUUAAAGAAGAAGAAAUUCAACGGGGGUGGAAUCUUGAUGCAUGUGGGAACAGCGUCACGUGAAAACACGACGACCAAAGCGAUUCUUUUUGGAAAUUUUCAGGAACAGCACCUAACUCAUCCUAGACCACACGACUAAUGAGAAGCGGUUCCUCUAUCGGAUAGCUGUUCGGCUUGGAGAACCCGAGCCAACUUCUGUUCGCGCUGCUUCUCCCUCCAAGGUCCUUCAAUCAUCAUUUUGUAUGUUGAAGUCCUCUGUGGCAUUGGUUUGCCUUCUCUCGCUGAGUGGAGAAACUGUGAUGCUUUUGGUGCAUUUGUAGCGUAUUCCAAAUCAAGCAAAUGCGGCAUGUGGGAUAGUUGAAUGGCUUUUGUCAUGCUAAUUCUGAAGCUGUGGAACUGGAAACAAGUUCUCGGCAUGUCGAAUGCUGAGGUUCCAGUAUUCUUAGCUCAGCAGCACAAAUUAGUGGAAAUUUGGUCCUUUUGGAGUUUGCGAACUUGCUUGAAUGGUGGAAAUUGGAAGAUCGAGAAUGUUAUCCUGUGAAAUGGUUACAUUUUUGGUCCAUCUUUCUUAUAUCAGUUGACAAUGUAUAUCAAAUGUGAGCAGAUUCGGAGAUCAACUUUGCGGUGGACAAAAUCUCAAUCAACAGGGACGGAUCAGCAUUGAAGGUUCAGACGCCCCAUGUGUUGUGUACCUUUGUGGGCUUAGUUCAGCUGCUGACGACAUUUUUUGCAAGUAUGCAGAGUUUGGUGUUCUGUUUUUAUGUUACUGGAUUCCAUGUUAGCAGUAUUAAGAGCAUGUUAUUCCAUUUUUGGGACUGUAUCGUUUUGAUUUUUUCAUUCUUCAGGGACAAGCCUAGACCUCAUGGCCUUUUAUAUCUGUUAAAAUCUUUGUCCUCGGUCCAUUUUUUAUUUUAUUUCAUUAAUUAUUGUCUUAUUUCAUUUUAAAUAUAAAUAGUAACUUGAUCAUAAUUAAUAAAAUGAAUUAUUGUCUUAUUAAUUUUUUUUUUUUUUUUUGGGGCUGAUAAAUUUGCUUCGUGAGUCUUUGCGUCGAAAAAAACUAGGCAGUGCCUCUUUUGCUGAAGGAUUUCUAAUAUUGACGGUGUUGUUUCCUAUUGACAGAAUUGUUUUAGUUGGUUCUGAAAUUUACUUAAAUGAAAGCAAUGCCUUGAGAGUUCUGAGAGCUUCAUGGCACCCGUAAUCGGGUCGGAUUUUAAUUGCAUUGUCCCCUUCUUGAAAACUUCCCUAAUAAAAUUUGGUAGCGUCUAAGAAAACUAACACUUCUAUUGAGCUCGAAGGGGGGAUUUGCUUGUUGAGCUGCAGGGAAAUGGCAUUCCCUAUCGGCAACACAAAACAAUCCUGUGUUCAAAACGGCGCCUCCCAUCUCCAGCAGAUUCACUUAUGAAUGCAACUACCAAUACGGCAGUUGCGUCCCGCUUGCAUUAGGUCACCACCUACUUCGGUGGCAUGUAUGAUUUCCAAUGACUUGAAAAAUAGAUGUUUGGCUCUUGUUGCUAUCAAUAGAUUAAACUAGUUCUUAUGCAUAAAAUUCAAAAUAAACCUUACCAUCAUCAUCCCCUCUUAUUUUAUUUUCUUUUUGGGUUGCUGGUGCAAAGCUAAUUCAUUGUAGGUUUGGGAGCAACAUUAUUUUCUCAAAUGGACAUCAAGAUCCUUAUAGUAACAGAGGGUAUAAAAAGUCAAAUACUCCUCACCGUACAAUUCAUCCGAAGAGUAAAAUUCCACAUUACAUAAUCAUGUUUAACAAUUUGAUCUCUUUUUCAAUCUUAGGAUCCUAAAGAAUAAUUUAGACAGUACCGUUGCCAUCUAUACAAGGAAAAAUACAUAAUGGGCCACUUUAUUUGUUGCUUUGCGACUCGUCUCACAUGCUUGCGAGUCACUAAAAUGAAAUCAAGAGAGGGGAACCUACUCAAAUUAGGAAUCUGACUCCAAAGUAGAAAGUAAUUUUGUAAUUUCUUGCUUGUUUGGGCAUCAAACCAGAAGCCCUAUUUAGAUUUGAAUUUUCCACUUUGAUCGGGUCUCCUCAUUUCCAAACUCAAAAUAUAUUCUCAUCAGUAAUUAUAUGUUUUGCACACUCUGGUUGCUUAGAUUUAUAAUCAAAGACACAAACAGAUCUAGACUAGUUGGACAUACAACGAAAUACCGAAGUAGGGAUAAUUGAAUAUAUGCCAAUCUUCUUGCUUUGGAACAAUGAUAUGUUGAAUUGCUAUUACAAACAAUAUCCAUGAUGAAUUGAUUCAAGAAGGCCAUUUCAAUAAUAGGUAACAACAAAAGAAAGUCCUCUAUAACCACCCGCCGCGGUGGCUCAGCUAGGUAGGCGCUAGAUUUCCAUCGAGGAGGUAUAGUGUUUGAAGCUCCUGCAACUUGUUUUGAGUUUCUUGACGACUUACCUGGUAGCACAGUAUGUGGUGGCUAGCACGUGUUGCCCCCAGUGGUUUACCUCUGAUUGCCGGCCGUGUGGGGUUCCCUAGGUCACCAAAAAAAGAAAAAAAGAAAGUCCUUUAUAUCUUUUAACAAAGUUAUCAUUGUUUUUAUUUGUUCCAAAUUUAACUCUUGUUGACUAGACUCAGACAAAGAAAGAUAUCCACCGUCCAGCCAAGAAGUUAAUUCUUUGGUGUGGCAACAGUUUUCUCCGAGCAGAAGAAUAGUCCAAGUGCCGAAACUUGACAUGAGGGGACACUUAAGUGCCAAAACUUUGAAAAUGUACACUUAAGUGACAUUUUCUUUGAAAAGUGAGACACUUAAGUGCUACCUCUGACGAACCUUGCCAAAAAUCUUACGUGACAAUAUUUUAUUAUUUUUGCUUGCCUACGUGGCUCGUCGGAGAGCUGACUCAGCUCAAACUCACUUGAAAUAACGUCGUCUGCAAAAUAAAAAUUAAAUUACUAGCUAAAAUAUUCUAAAAAGUAAAAAUGUGUAAAUAAUUAAUAUAAAAUUAAUUAAAUUAAAUUUAAACUUACAUUAAUUUAAAAUAUUCUAAAAAAUUAAAAAAGGGAAGGGGGGGUGAAGGAGGUGGUUGAGGCUCGCGAACCCUCGCCCAGAUCCAGCGAGGGCUCAUGGGCCCUCGCUGCCGGUUCACCAGGGGUCGGCGAGGGCUCGCAUCGGCCGAUGUCGCCGGCUUCUAGCCAAGGCCCGGCGACCCCUGCCGAUGCUCCCCCCACCGUCGCCGGCCCUUGCCACCAGUUGGCUAGGGGCCGGCCACCCCGGCCAACCCUCCCCCUUCCGUCGCUGGCCCUUCCUGACGGUGGCAGGGAGGCGGCGGCGGCAAGAGCUCAGCCCUCAGCCGCCUCCUUCGGCGGCCCCCCCUUUUAAGUUUUUUAUUUUUUAGAAUAUUUUAAAUAAAUUUAAGUUUAAAUUAAAUUAAAUUAAUUUUUAUAUUAAUUAUUUACACAUUAGACACAAAAACGAUAUUGUUUUUGCAUUUUCUCGCCACGUCAGCGUGCAAACGACGCCGUUUUGCACUCAUCUUGUCGGAAAAUUGCCACGUCAGCAAUUUGGUCGGAUUUUGAUCGGAGUGGCACUUAAGUGAUCAAUUUUAUUCCAAUUUUGGUACUUAAGUGUACAUUUUCUUCAUGCUAAGUUUUGGUACUCCAAGUGUCCUUACCUCGUUUUCUCCAACAUGAAAGAAAUUGUCACGUGAAUUAGUGUGGCCUUCAAGAAAAGAAAAUAUAAUCCAAAUAAGGUAGUGAUCUAUUGGGAUUCCUUUUCUUUUCCACUAUACUUGGUUUAACAAACCUAUUUACAUCCUCCAAUGGAAUCGGGUCUUGUUCACAUGGUCAAAUCCGAGAUAUAAUUUAAUUAUUUUAAUGUAAUUUGGCAUAGAAAAUAGUAGUACAAAUUGGGAUCGAGGGUUUAUCUAUAUAAAUGCAAACCGAUGCUCCAAUUCUUGAAAAAUAUAUCUUUGGCUCUUAUUGCCAUAAGUAGAUUAAACUAGUUUUUAUGCAUAAAAUUCAAAGUAAACCUUGACAUCAUGGUCCUUUACCUUUUUUAUUUUUAUUUUUAUUUUUUAUGGGUUUCUGGUUGUAGGAUAUAGAUCUAAUUCAUCGUAGGUUUAAUAGCAACAUUAUUUUUUCAAACGGACAUUGGAAUACUUAUGGUAGCGGAGGGUACGAAAAAUUGAAUGCUCAUCAUUGGACAUCCAUCUGAAGAGUAAAAUUUUACAUUAUCUAACCAUGCUUUACAAUUUGAUCUUUUUUUCAAUCUUAGGAUCCUUAAGAACAAUCUAGACGGUAUAACCAUUGUCUAUACAAAGAAAGGUACAUAACCAAGUCACUUUAUUUGUUGCUUUGUCUCCUGUGCUUGUGAAUCAUUCAAAUGAAAUCAAGAGAAGUAAAUCUACCCAAAUUAGGAAUCUAACUUCAAAGUAGAAAGUAUACGUGUAAUAUCUUGAUUGUUUGGGCAUCAAAUUACAACCCCUAUUUAGAUUUGGAUUUUCUACUUGGAUUGAGUUAACUUCAUGGUUCAAACUCAAAAUAUAUUCGCGUCACUAAUUAUAUGUUUUAAGUUUCCGUUGUUUGGAUUUAUAACCAAAGAUACAAACAGAUCUUGACUAGUUGGUCAUGCAGUGAAUUACCGAAGUGUGGAUAACUAAAUAUAUGCCAAUCUCCUUGCUUUGAAACAAUGACAUGUUGAAUUGCUAUUACAAAAAAUAUCAAUGAUGAAUUGAUUUUAGAAGGCCAUUUCAAUGAUAGAUAAGAACAAAAAACUUAGUCCUCUGCAUAACCUUGUUUUUCUCUGUUCCAAAUUUAACUCCUUUUGACUGGACUCACGGAUAAAGAAAGAUGUCCACGUCUAGCCAAAAAGUUAAUUCUUUGGGGCAGCUAUCUCGGACAGUUUUCUCCAACUGGAAAGAAAUCAUUACAUGAAUUAGUGUGGCCUUCAAGAAUUGAAAAUUUAAUCCAAAUAAGGUAGUGAUCUAUUCAGAUCCUUUUUUGUCUAAUAUACUUGGUUUAACAAACCUAUCAAUGGCCUCCAAUCGAAUCAGCUCUUGUACACAUCCUCAAAUCUGAAAUAUAAUUUAAUACAUUUAAUGUAAUUUGGCAUAGAAAAUAGUAGUACAAUAUGGGAUUGUGGGCUUCUCUAUAUAAAUGUGAACUUGUUGAAGCCCAAAAACAUCUUGAGGAUCCUCCUCUUCGCCUACCUGCUUUAGCCUAGGCAAUAACCACACACCCCAACAUGUCUUCAUCACAUUGUAGCAUUUUGAUCAUUGUGAUGCUUUUCUCGGUUUGUGUUGCUACCGGGAAGAACUUCGAUGCUUACUAUAUCCCAAAGCUGAGCGUAUUCCACCGAACGUUUAUUCAAGAUCCUACAUGGGCGGUUCGAGCUUCCGUCUCGUCAAAAGACUUCCAGACUUUCUUUUACAACCAAACCCUGGAUCAUUUUAAUUACAGGCCAGAAAGUUACACUACUUUCAAACAAAGAUAUGUAAUCAAUUCCAAAUACUGGGGCGGUGCGAAUGCAGUUGCCCGAUCUUCGUUUUUCUCGGUUCUGAAUCACCCUUCGACGUCGACAUCAAAUAUCUUGGGUUCGUGGCGGAAAACGCGGCUGAGUUUAAAGCGCUUUUGGUCUGUAUAGAGGUAAUAAAAGGCCCUAUAUAAUUUGCCUAAUAGUACCUUCUUUUUCCCUUAUGUUUGCCGUGCAUAGGUACAUAUUCACGCAAUUUACGAACGUAAAGUUAAAAUCUUGCAGCAUCGGUAUUAUGGUGAAUCAAUUCCGUAUGGGUGGACACUCGAUAAAGCACUAAAAGAUGCCAAGACUCGCGGAUAUUUCAGCUCAGCACAAGCUCUUGCCGAUUAUGCAGAAAUCCUUGUAUACUUGAAACAGAAAUUGAAUGCCAGACAUUCUCCGAUAAUUGUCUUUGGAGGAUCAUAAGGGGGAAGUAAGCGAAUAUGUUUUCACUUAUCAGCAAUAUGACUACUGCUUAGCAUUGAAAUUAAAGAAAAAGCCCACUGCGCACAUUGACGAUAUCAAUUCCAAUGUACGAUUCCCAUUAAUUAUAGUAGAAUGUAAAUAAACACACAUAGUCUGCUGAAAGUCCUUGUUCUUGAACAUAUCAUGGAUAGAACUUUUCCUAAAGAGCGCUAGUCAUAAUGACAACGACAAUCCAUAUCAAGUUUGAUAGUUUGCCCUGAAUGGCAUUGAAGAAAGUGCCUACCAUUAGGUUUACAAGGAAUAGAUCAACACCAUACAUUCUACACAUUACUUACAAGUAGGUCUUUCAAUCUUCAUAUGUUUGAUUUUCAGUGCUAGCUGCAUGGUUUCGAUUAAAGUACCCUCAUGUGGCGCUCGGAGCAUUGGCAUCAUCCGCUCCAAUUCUAUCCUUUCCCGACAUCAUUCCUCGGGAAACAUUCUAUGCGGGAGUUGCAAAAGAUUUUUUGGUAAUCUUAACUGCUGGAUUUAUACCUUUUUCCUUUAGCAUGCGUUUUCGUUAAUCAAAUUGAUAACUUAACUUGAAUAAUUAUUUGGUUAAUAUUUCAGGAAUUUAGUUUUUCUUGCCACGAGACCAUUAGAAGAUCCUGGGAGGAAAUUGAUAGAGUUGCUUCUGAGCUUCAUGGUCUCGCAAAAUUGAACAAAACUUUCAAAACUUGCAGGUGCGUGGAUGAUGGAAUUGGGAUUAUACAUCAUAUUGUAUUUUGGAGACUUCUCAGAAUGUUCUGUAGGACAAGUAAUUUUUAGAAGAUAAGAAGUUGUUAGACAUAUCUAAUUGGAAAUUUAUAGCAUAUAUUGACAGUGAAAGGAACCUUUGCACAAACGGUCUAUCCAUUCUUGAUUUGUGAAUUUCAGGUAUCAACUCCCUCACUUGCCAUCAAGUAUAGGGCGGAUAAGACCGUGUGUGAAAAGCGUUUUUUACCCUAACAAUUUAUUCCAUAAUAGCAUGAACUUUCGCUAAACAAGGGGAAUGAUUCUAACAUGACAUAAUGGUUUUAAGCUCUGAUAAUAUUUAAAAAAAAAAUAUUAAUGGAUAUGCUUUAGAGACGAGUAUACAUCUAAUUAUGCAUAUCUUUUAUCUUUUGUUAGACCAUUGGAAAGUUCUUCAGAGCUCAAGGAUUACUUAAAAUCAGUCUACGCAGACGCUGCCCAGUACAAUGAUCCAUUCAGUCGUCCAGUAGAUGUGAUAUGCAAUGCCAUUAACGGAACUUCUCCAAGAAAUGACAUUCUCAGGAAGAUUUUCGCAGGCCUCUCGACUUACCGAAAUUCGACUUGCUACAUCAAUCCACCUCCUACACCUCUAUCUAACACUGAGUUGGGUUGGCAUUGGUGAUAAUGCUAGUACGAGUACCUAGAGGGGGGUGAAUAGGUUUAUAAAGUUUUCUUGGAGAUUGCACAAUACUUAAACAAAUAAAAAAAUCAAUCGUAAGACUGAGUAAAGGAAAGAGAGAAUUAAACACGAGGUUUAUAGUGGUUCGGCUUGAUUCAAGCCUACGUCCACUCUUCUGCACUGACAGCCGAUUGGCUGGAUUCCACUAUGAACAAAGAGAUGUUACAGUGUUGAUCUUCCUUGAUUUCUCGAUGUAGAUGAUCUACUACACUCGCUCAAGGUAUCACCAAGUAUAAACACUCUCUAUGUGUACAAUUUCGCUCGAACUGUAUCGACUAACAAUCAAGGUUUUUCAGACUCUGGAAUUUUUCUAUCAAUCACACACUUAAAACAACUAGAACGUCUUCCUUUUAUACUCCUUUAUGCCAUCAUAGCCGUUGGCACUUACCAAAGGAAUUCCUCCAAUCUACCCGUUGGACGGAAUCAAUUAAGAAGAUCAUCCGAGCUAUUUAAGGAAUCUGAUGAUAGCCCAUCAAUCCUGUUCGCCCAUACAAUAAGGAUUUUGGUUUCCAAGAAUAGAAAUUCCAAGAAUGUUUCGUCGACCAUCGGAUCUUCUAUUGUUCUUAGAUAAGAAUCAAAAAAUCCGAAGUGAUUAUCCAACCAAGGGAUCUUUUCCAGAGGAUUGGAUCGAAUCCCCAACCAUAUACUUCGGCUUCGGAUAUCCUUCGCUACUGGAUUAGAAAGACUGUCAGUGAGAAUAAUUUUGAGUCUUGAGUCUUGAGUCUUGAGAUUACAAAGUCUUGAGACUAUAAAGUCUUGAGACUUUAACUAUCGAUAUCCAGACUUAGACUGAUAGAAAUGUUUUGUCAGCUUCAAAAUAUUCUAGAAAGAUUUCUCCAACAAUCUCCCCCUUUUUGAUGGUGACAAAACUUUCUUGUAGAUUUGAACAACUUUGACCUGCAAAAACAUUUUUCAAGCAAUAUGGCUAACUCAUAAAGAUUAAUAAACAACCAGACUCUGCAUCCAUAGCAAAUUGGUUAGUCUUUCAUGAGUAAUACCAUAUAACAAUACUUGAUAUAAAUGCAACCAGUCAAGCAUCAAAAUCCACAGCCAAUUCAGUCUAACACUCAAGUUCAAGUUCUCAAGUCAUACUAAAAAAUAAACAUAAACACAAAAGUCAAAUAAAGUUUUAAAAUAAUGUUUGUUCAAAUUGGUUCUCCCCCUUUUUGUCAUCAUUAAAAAGAGGGUGAGAAAGGAGUCAUGUCUGCUUGGGAAUGCGCACGAUCUGGAAUUCUCCCAUUGACUGGACUACGCCUUCCAGCCUCUUCAAGUCCUCCCUUAGAUGAGCUACCUCCUCUCCUUUGGCAUUGGCUUGAAUUUGCAGAGCGAGGUCUUUCAUCUUGUCCUCCAGGCUGACUGAAGAUGCUUGUCCAGCAUUCUUCAUUGCUUGAAUUUCACAUUCCAGAGCAUAUAUUUGGCCACGCAUUUCCAGAAGAAUAUCCAUGAUUCGAUGAAAAUCUGCAGAAUUGUCUGUCUGUGCACUGGCAUGAGCUUUUUCAGAUGAUGGCAUUUCUGUAUAGUCUUGCAGAUUUGGUGUCGACGUAUCACCUUCUUCAGGCAAUUGAGAAGCCUGAAAUUCUUCUGGGUCUGCUGGAGAUUGUCUUGGACCUUCACUAUCUGCAGCAUGAGGUGUAGACCUUUCUUGCUCGCCAACUCCCCCUGUCUCUAGGACAUCCAAAGGGGAAGAAUGAUGAUCAUGCUCCAGAUUUCCCUUCUCUCCAGAUUCAGCAGCAGACUUUUCUUUCUCUUCUUCAGCUUCCUUCUCCUUCUCUCUCUGUUCUUCUUCUUCUCUCUGGUUCUUCUGAAAUUCUCUCGGCUGAGACACAGAACGUCUGGUUCUUAUCAGUGCAUGGAUCGUAGGAUCUUCAUCCUCUUCAUCUUCAUCCUCCAGGAUGAGAGUUCUUCUCUUCUUUUUCGAUGAGGCUCCAAUGGCCUCUUUUCCUUUUCUCUUUGAAGCAGACUGAACAGGAGAUUUCACUUUGAAUUUCUCCAUUGCCUUGGAAAGUUCUUGCAGACGCAUCUUCGUUAACAUCUUCAAACCUACCACCAUCUUAUCACACGGUUGAACACAAAGAGAUUGAGGUGGUUCAAUAUUCAUGUGUCUGAAGAUCUUGGUCACCAGACCAGGAUAAGGCAAUUGUCCUUUGUCUUUCGACAUUGCUCUGUACAUAUGGAAGAGAAUAGUGUGCGGGAGAGAGAACUUCCGUCCUGUGUUGAUUGCGUACAUCAACUUGCUCAGAAAGAGACACAGAAGUCUUUGACGUAGACUUUGGUCUAAUACAGUUGAUCACAAUCUUAUGAAGCACAAUGUUGAUGGCAUUCAUCCUGGAAUAGGUAACUUUCUUCUCUGCAUCCCUAUCUUUGACCAGUUCCAGAGUAGUACGAGCAGGUGAGACUUUGAUUGGUAGGUAGCGUCCUCGUUCAACUCCAACUAUAUCAGCCAACAUAUUCACAUCUACCACGUAGACUUUGUCUCGAACACUAAAUGAUAUUCUAUUCGCAUCCAGAAAGCUAAGAUUGGAAUAGAAAUAAGCAGUCAAAUGAGCAUACCCGUCCGUAGAGUCAGAGCAAAAAUUCUCAAGUUGAAACAAAUUCAACUUUUCUCUUAAGUUUAUGUUGAUGGCGUCCAGGAAGUCAAAAUCGACACUUCUAGGGUUUAUCACCCCUCUUUUCAACAGCCUGGAAUACACUUUUUCUUGAUCUUUGGAUUUGAACAAAUCCAUCCGAUUUCCUUUCACCUUUGCUGCCACUCCCAUUUUCGGUUGAAAUUCAAGGAACAUUCUGUCAUCAUCGUUCCCUUCAAUUAAGUUUUGUCCUGGCAUACGAGGAUCACUUGGAAUGUUCGCAAGUGCUUCCUCUGCUUUUCCUUUUGGGGCAAUUCCCCAUUCCUCCAUUUUCUUCAGAAAAAGAUACUCAUUCCCAUAAUUUUUGUCCUUAAGGAAGUCAUCUAUAUAAUUCAAUGGAGUACCUGUGCUUUUCAAUGCACGAUAAAGUUUAUACAAAAAGGAGGGCUUUUGAACUCUUACUGGGUCGGCAUCCUCGAUUAUCUCUUCUUCCAGAUUAUGACUUGCACCUUGUGGGGCAGGAGGUGUUGAAUGACGUGGAUGAGAGCGAAUCGGACUUUGUCGCUGACUUGUUAAGUCUUCUUCCUCAGUGAGAUCGAAAUGAGUCGGUCCCUUCUCCAUUCUUUGUGGUCCCCUGCUUGCGAUUCUUGAUGAUUUCCUCGAAGAAGACAUCUUUCUUUGUCGUUUGGAAGAUUCCUUCACUUGCUUUCCCAAGAAAAAUGACCACUUUCUCGACGACGAAUAAACAGUAAAACAGUAUCGGGAGGAGAGUGCCUUUUAGGGUUUUGAAGAUUGGGGAAAAGAAAAACUGUAUAUAUAUAACUCAGUUUUGAAAAAGGAAGUUCAAUCGGUGCAAGGAAAGUGAACGAUCACUUCUUUUCAAAAUCAAUAACUGUCAAAAUUAUUAAACGAAAGAUCGUACCUUUUCGAGUUAAUAUAACUAAAUGACAAUUAGUACCUUUUAGAUGAAAUACAACUUACAGUCUAUAGCCACGAAUGUCUGAGUCUGAGGAUUUAAAGUCUGAAAGAUUAGAGUCUUAGAGUUGGUGAGUCUUUAGACUUUAACUUCUUCAGGCUUCAAAAUGUUGAGUCUUGAACGGAUAAAGUCGAAUUGAUUUUUCUUCAAAGGCUUUGUGAAUAUAUCCGCUAGUUGACUCUUUGAAUCAACAAAUUGAAUCGAGAUUUCUCCAUUUUGAAUAUGAUCUCUAAUGAAGUGAUGUCGAAUCUCAAUAUGCUUUGCUCUUGAAUGAAGGAUUGGAUUUUUGGUGAGAUUAAUCGCACUGGUGUUGUCACAUCUGAUUUCUGUGCAUGAGUCUUCAAUCCCAAAGUCUUGUAGCUGUUGUUUUAUCCAAAGAAUUUGCGAACAGCAGCUUCCAAGAGCUACAUACUCUGCUUCUGUCGUUGAAAGAGCUACAGUGCUUUGCUUCCUCGAAAACCAAGACACCGUUCUGUUUCCAAGUAGUUGACAAGUUCCAGAGGUGCUUUUUCUAUCGAUUCUGCAACCGGCCAGAUCUGCAUCUGAGUAUCCUAGAAGAUUAAAGUCUCCAUUCUUGGGAUACCAGAGACCGAUGCUUGAAGAUGAGGCAACAUAUUUGAUAACACGUUUUACAGCACUGAGAUGGGAUUCUCUAGGAUCUGAUUGAAACCUAGCACAAAUACAAACACUCAACAAAAUAUCAGGUCUAGAAGCAGUAAGAUAAAGAAGUGAACCGAUCAUGCUCCUGUACAGCUUUUGAUCUACUUUCUUCCCUUCUUCAUCCUUGUCUAUCUUCUGAGAACAUGACAUUGGUAUGUCGGUCUUUUUACACUUUUCCAAUCCAAACCUUUUGACAAGAUCAUUCGCAUAUUUUUCUUGAUGGAUAAAAGUUCCUUCCUUCAUUUGUUUCACUUGAAGUCCAAGAAAGAAUGUUAACUCUCCCAUCAUACUCAUUUCAAACUCAUCCUGCAUAGACUUAGAAAAUUUCUUGCAUAGACUUUCAUUAGGUGAUCCAAAAAUAAUAUCGUCCACAUAUAUUUGAACAAGUAAAAAGCUUUUGCUUUCCUUUUUGAUAAACAAAGUAGUAUCUACUUUACCUUUGACAAAACCAUUCUGUAAUAAGAACUUACUUAGUCUGUCGUACCAAGCUCGAGGUGCUUGCUUUAAACCAUACAAGGCCUUUUUCAGUCUGAAGACUGAGUCUGGCUUCUUUGGGUCUUCAAACCCAGGUGGUUGUUCCACAUAAACUUCCUCAUGGAUGAAUCCAUUUAGGAAUGCACUUUUGACAUCCAUUUGGAAUAACCUGAAAUUUUUAUAACAAGCAAACGCAAGUAAUAGACGAAUAGCUUCUAACCUUGCUACUGGAGCGUAAGUCUCAUCAUAGUCUAUUCCUUCUUGUUGCGUAUAUCCUUUGGCCACGAGUCUUGCUUUGUUUCGUACGACUUUUCCUUCUUCAUUCAUCUUGUUCCUGAAUACCCAUUUGGUUCCAAUAACGGUUUUACCUUUUGGUUUAGAUGUCAAUUCCCAGACAUCAUUGAUGUUGAAUUGUCUAAGUUCUUCUUGCAUAGCUUCGAUCCAGCUUUCAUCAGAUAAAGCUUCUUCUAUGCUUUUUGGUUCAAUUUCAGAAAUGAGAGCCACAGCACUAGAUUCUUCAUGCCUUUUUGAUCUGGUGCGGAUUCCUUCAUUGAUUUCGCCAAUAAUGAGAUCUUUAGGAUGACUGGAUUUAUGCUUCCAGUUACUGGUUGUUCUGCCUGGUUGAUGAUCUCUUUCUUUGUUUGAAUCUUCAUGUGCUUCUUGAUGUUGGACUUCCAGAGACUGAGAUGCUUCUUGAGUUGUAAGCAUUGGAAGGUCUGGAGUAGGUUCAGACUCUUCAUACUGAGUCUGGCUGGAUUCAUCUUGCAUAGAGUCUUGGAAUUUAACAUUCGUUGAUUCCUCCACUGACUGGCUUUUCUUGUUAUAGACUCUGUAGGCUUUGCUUGAUGUAGAAUAUCCAAGGAAGAUGCCUUCAUCUGAUCUUUCUUCAAACUUACCAACUCGAUCAUUUGCAUUUUUCAACAUAAAGCAUUUGCAACCAAACACAUGAAAGUAUGAAACAAUAGGCUUUUUACCUUUGAACAAUUCAUAGGGGGUUUUCUCUAAAAUAGGUCUUAAAAAGACUCUAUUUAUAAUAUAGCAUGCUGUUGAAACAGCUUCAGCCCAAAAUCGUGAAGAGAUUUUGCUUUCAAUUAAAAGUGUUCUAGCCAUUUCUUGAAGAGAUCUAUUCUUUCUUUCCACAACUCCAUUUUGCUCUGGAGUAUAUGGAGAGGAAAACAUAUGAUUAAAACCAGAUUUAUCACAAAAUUUCGUAAAAUCUUGAUUUUCAAAUUCACUUCCAUGAUCUGUUCUUAUGCUUGAAAUUGCACAUCCUUUUUCAUUUUGAACCUUUUUGGCAAAUUUUUCAAAAUACGAAAAGGUUUCUGACUUACUUGUAAGAAAGUAUACCCAAGUAAAGCGGGAGUAAUCAUCCACAAUUACUAGGCAAUAUUUCUUACCUCCAAUGCUCUGGGUUCUGGUUGGUCCGAAGAGAUCCAUAUGAAGCAACUGUAGUACAUGAUUAGUAGAGACAUGGUUUAUUUGCUUAAAUGAAUUUCUUACUUGCUUUCCCAGAAUGCAUGGAGUGCAUGAAUCAGACUUUUGGUAUGGCAAUUUAGGUAGACCUCGAACAAGCUUCUUUGAUGAGAUUUUGGCUAAUUGCUUCAUGUUGACAUGGCCAAGCUUUAUGUGCCAUAAGACUGCUUCAUCUUGAAUUGAGAUUAGGCAUUGUGCUUCAUUUGGUUUUACAUCAAGAAGGUAGAUAUUUCCAUGCCUUCGACCCAUGAAAGACUGAGUUGAGUCUUUGCUAAUUCCAGAACAUAUGCCUUCUUGAAAGGAGAUCUUGAAACCAGUAUCACACAAUUGGCUAAUACUUAGAAGAUUGUAGUUGAGUCCUUCCACUAGAGAGACAUUGCUUAUUGUGAGAUUUCCAAUUUUCACAGUUCCAAAUCCCACAAUGCUUCCUUUGCUGUUUCCUCCAAAUGAAACUUUUCCACCAUUCACUUGAACAAGCUUUAUGAAGCAUUUUGAGUCUCCUGUCAUGUGUCUUGAACAUCCGCUGUCAAGAUACCACUUAAUUUUCUUUUUGACAGAGACCUGCAUUCAAAAGAGAGUCUCAAGCUUUCUUUGGUACCCAAAUUUUCUUGGGUCCUUUGGCGUUAGUAGAAUAAGCAUUACUAGGCCAUACUUUCUUAACAGGCUUCCAAACCAUAGGACACUAUUUUUCAAAAUGAUCCUGACUGUUACACUUUGAACACCUUAGAGCACUUCGACCUAUAGACUUUACAAAGACUUUCUCGAAAUGAUUUUUGUAAGCCUCUUUUGUCGGUCUUUUCUUAAUUCUUUCUUUUACUUUUGGAAAAUCAAUCAAGGAAAUUGUUUCUGCUGUCAUACCCAAACCAGACUUGUUAAAGUAAGGUCUUUGGACUGAAAGAACUUUUUCAAGUUUUUCAGACCCUAUUGAAAAUUUCUUUGAAAUAUUUGAUAAGUCAGUUUUUAAGAAAGCAUUCUCUUUUGAAAGUUUAUCUUCAUUCUCCUUAAGAGUAGAAACAUUCAAGUCUAAACUUUUCACUUUUUCUUCUAAAAUAUUUUCCUUUUGUUUUAAAACUGAGUUUUCCUUUUUAAGUUCGGAAAUCCUUUUCAGAGAAGUCUUAAGACUAAAACAUAGUUCAUCAAUGUAUUUAGAGACUUUGACAGGAAUUUUAUAAUCACUUACCUCAAAUUCACUGUCAGAGUCUGAUCCAGAAUCUGAGUCUGAUUGUGCCAUUAGACAAAGGUUGGCAUAUUCAUCAUCACUUUCUUCACACUCUGUAUCGCUCCAAGUUUCGGCUUUGAGAGCUUUACGAGACUUUUCAGCUUUUCCUCUUUUCUUCUUCAGGAGAGGACAAUUUGGUCUGAUGUGUCCCUUUUUCUUACAUUCGAAACAAACUACAUCUUUGUUUGGUUCCUCAUUAUCAACAAACUUGGUUUGCUGUUUCUGAAAACUUUGUUUCCUUGAGUUGAACCUUCUCCCUUUUCUAUUCAGCUUUCUGAACCUUCUAAUCAUAAGAGCAAGCUCCUCAUCGUCCAGAUCUUCUUCAGAGUCUGUAUCAUCAGAAUCAUCGUUAGAUUUUAAUGCAAUGGAUUUCUUACCUCUUGGAUCUUCGUCUUCAUUAAUUCGUUCCACUUCAUAAGACUGAAGAGUUCCAAUCAGCUCGUCUACAGAUAAUGGCAUAAUUCUUUGCGUCUCUCUUAUUGAAGUCUUUAUAUGAUUCCAAUCCUUGGAGAGUCCACGCAGUAGCUUGUUCACCUUCAUAGGAUCAGAAAUUUUCUGUCCUUGAUUCUCAAGAUCAUUGACAAUAUCUGUAAAACGGCUAAACAUGUCAGUUAUAGAUUCUCAUUGUUUCAUUUUGAAGGCUUCAUAUUGACCAAGGAGAAUGUUAAUUCUGGUCUCCUUCACUCGGUCUGUCCCUUCAUAAGUGAUAUGUAAUCUGUCCCAGACUUCUUUUGCUGUAUCACAAGAAGAUAUUCUGUUAUAUUCAGUAGGUGAUAAAGCACAAUAUAAAGAGUAAAUUGCUUUUGCAUCAAGUGCUUGUCUCUUGUUUAUCUCUUCUUGAGACAUUCCGCUGGUUUCAACAGUUUCUUUCCCUCUUUCGGAUGCUGAUGUAGCAGUAGGAGUAAUUCCUCUUUCCAUCACAUCCCAUUCCAGAGGAUCCUUUGAUCGUAGAAAAGCUUUCAUCUUGUUUUUCCAGAUGUUGUAAUCCUUUCCAUCAAAGUAGGGUGGUCUUGUAUUGCUUUGCCCUUCCACCAGCCCUGGUGCUAGCAUACUAGCCAUGGAUCUUUUACUCUGAAGUAAAACACUUCAAAUAAAGUGAGAACACGGGCUCUGAUACCAAUUGAUAAUGCUAGUACGAGUACCUAGAGGGGGGUGAAUAGGUUUAUAAAGUUUUCUUGGAGAUUGCACAAUACUUAAACAGAUAAAAAAAUCAAUCGUAAGACUGAGUAAAGGAAAGAGAGAAUUAAACACGAGGUUUAUAGUGGUUCGGCUUGAUUCAAGCCUACGUCUACUCUUCUGCACUGACAGCCGAUUGGCUGGAUUCCACUAUGAACAAAGAGAUGUUACAGUGUUGAUCUUCCUUGAUUUCUCGAUGUAGAUGAUCUACUACACUCGCUCAAGGUAUCACCAAGUAUAAACACUCUCUGUGUGUACAAUUUCGCUUGAACUGUAUCGACUAACAAUCAAGGUUUUUCAGACUCUGGAAUUUUUCUAUCAAUCACACACUUAAAACAACUAGAACGUCUUCCUUUUAUACUCCUUUAUGCCAUCAUAGCCGUUGGCACUUACCAAAGGAAUUCCUCCAAUCUACCCGUUGGACGGAAUCAAUUAAGAAGAUCAUCCGAGCUAUUUAAGGAAUCUGAUGAUAGCCCAUCAAUCCUGUUCGCCCAUACAAUAAGGAUUUUGGUUUCCAAGAAUAGAACAUUCCAAGAAUGUUUCGUCGACCAUCGGAUCUUCUAUUGUUCUUAGAUAAGAAUAAAAAAAUCCGAAGUGAUUAUCCAACCAAGGGAUCUUUUCCAGAGGAUUGGAUCGAAUCCCCAACCAUAUACUUCGGCUUCGGAUAUCCUUCGCUACUGGAUUAGAAAGACUGUCAGUGAGAAUAAUUUUGAGUCUUGAGUCUUGAGUCUUGAGAUUACAAAGUCUUGAGACUAUAAAGUCUUGAGACUUUAACUAUCGAUAUCCAGACUUAGACUGAUAGAAAUGUUUUGUCAGCUUCAAAAUAUUCUGGAAAGAUUUCUCCAACAAUUGGCAGGUGCACACUAUAGUCGGACAUCAUGGACGGAUUGUAGCUUACUACUACUAGUUGAAAUUGACUCGAAUUUUGUGUUGUACUAAGCAAACGGAGGUUGUUUGGGUUUGCAGACAUGUAGCGAGAUUCCGACCCUUUGGAGCAUCACCAACAAUACUAUGUUUCAACCAGCUCCCUCUGGCCUAGAUAAAUUUGUGAAUCGCUGCAAGCGAGACUUUGGCAUUGCACCUCGGCAACACUGGGUCCCUACUUAUUACGGUGGUCAAGUAUGGUCACAAAAAUAAAAUCACAUAUCUAUGAUACUCUUUUAAUUUUCUCUUUCACACACACACACACACCAAACAACAUACGACACCCUUUCGUUUCUUCACUGACUAUAGAAAAUUGCAGGACAUCAAACUCAUUUUGCACAGAUUCGCUAGCAAUAUUAUUUUCUCCAAUGGGCUUCAAGAUCCUUUUAGCUAUGCAGGGUAUGUGUAGCAUCAAAACCUAUAGAUUUCCAUGAAAACAUCACUAAAUUGGAUAAGAUUUCAAAGUAAUUCUUCUAUACCAUCAAUUGUAGGAUUUUGAAGAGUAUUUCAAAUUCGGUUGUCGCAGUCUACACAGCUAAAGGUAUGUGCUGACUCAACUCAUGUCGAACUAAAGUCAAAUGAUUCCGAUACUCAAAUUAAUGCUGCGAAAAAUAAUUUCUUACCUACAGGUUCUCAUUGUUUAGACAUACUACCAGCUACAAAAGAAGAUCCCAUAUGGUUGGUCAAGCAGCGGAACACCGAACUUGAGAUUAUAAGAAAAUGGAUAGCCACGUAUCAUGCGGAUCUUCGUGCUUUUGGAAAAUAUUAAUAUAUAUCACUGGGGAAUAUCAUUGCAUUGAAUAAUGCUAAUAGCAUUAAGAAUGAAGACCAAAGUUGUGUGCUUCGUCUGUUUUCUUGGGAGAAGGGUGAAUUGAGAUAUCAAAAUCAUUAAAACAUUAAGAAAAACUAAAAGGAAUGGUACACUCCAAACUAAUGUGAACUUUCCCGAAAGGAAGGAAAAAAUUCAAUUGCAAUGUAAGAGACGGUACGACUGUAAUGAAUCGAGAGAGAGCGAGCUAGCAUGGUGGAGUGCCUUAAUACUUGUACCACCGAUGGAGUACAAGGCGCACGCUGUGAAGAUGAUCACAAAGUAAUGGCUCACCAUGAUUAUCGAAUGACAACACACAGUAGAGAUUCACAAAAUGCUUGCCGUGGUGGGGCUGUGGGUGAUUAAGAGCAAUUAUCGCUACUUAAAUAGAGGAUUUCUCAUUGCUCUAGUAAGAGGUUUAUUUGCUUGCAAUUAAAGAGUUCUUUAUUAACGCAGUUCGACGAGGAAUCACAGAGCCCAAUGCUUUCAUUCAGUAUGCAUUUACGUUUCAUGUCAGUACAGAAUUCAGCAACAUUUUGGACUUACAUCCUAAUUAAGUAAGAUAAAUUCACACUCAAGUCGUGCUCGAUCUUCUUUUCUUGUAUUUAAGGGCAAACAAUGGUCGGCUGAGUUGAUCUCAACAGUUUUUAUGUCUCGUAAGAAAAAGAAACAGAUAGAGAAUUAUGUAUUUUUGCACAUAUACCAACUCCGUGCCCGUAACUAGAGUCUUGAUGAGUCUAGAAAUAAGGUUUAUUUAGAAGUGUGAUAAAAGUAGCCAAGCAUCACUUAAAAAUACAAAUGAUAAAUAGGUGCGUUUCGUAACAUGUGGGAUUUGGACGUUUACGUCAAGACAAUUAGGACUCUCUGCAGAAAAUGGAGCAUAGCCAUGUAAUAAGUAAUUUGUUUAGGGCAUUCUAUUGGAGAGGGCAUUUGUUUUUUUAUGAAGAACACGGCAAAGCCAAUUUAUGCUUGUCAUCGUAUGUAUGCAGAAGCAAGAACAAGAUAAAUAGCAAUAAAACGCGUGACCUGACUUCAUUUUCUUUAUUAAAUCUAAAGUUGGAGAAGAAAAAAAUGGGACGGGCAUUGCUCGAAGAUUGAAUGUCAGUUUAAACUACUAACCUUGGAUGCCAUAGCAAAAGACAGGCGUGCAUCUAGUGAGUUUAAUUCCAAGUCAUCAAUUGUAUUGUUGGCUGAGAUCACAGAUAAAUUGCUCAAAUCUCAGUUCCAUUUGCUACCAAUAUGUCACGGUCACUAGUCGGUUGUCUGCAAUUGUACCUGUUGAGUUGAUUCGAAGCCCUUGUAGUUACGAAUCACAUUUUUUGCGGUCAUGCAGACCAUUUUGCUGGAGUGAGUUGGACGCUUUGCAUUCAUCUUUACAUUCUAUAUCUGCCCGGCUAUGAAGGUACACUCGAUCGAUAAUGAAAGAGCAGACAUCGAGGAAGAAGUCUCGUUCAAGACAACCAGAUCUCUCAACUGAAAUCCUCCCUUGAGAAACUUUCCCUUGUCAACAGCGACGACUUGAAGAAGGUCAAACUUGUCGAAGAAGCAAUAAGAAGCAUGGAGAAGUAAUAGCACGUGUUCUCUCCUAGAAUCACUUGGAAGUGUCUCGACGACCCACAUGACAAUUCGAAAUCUCAAAGGGAGAGAUGCCUCUCAUUUUGCUCUGUAGGUAUCUACAUGGCCUAUGCAGUACCAGCGCGGUUAAAUGUAGAUGAAUCUAUCAUGAGAUAUGAACUUCAUAUUUUUAGCAAGUUCUAAGCGUGACCCAUCUAUCUUUUGAGCGAUAUGAUUUUUUCUAAUAGAACUAAUCUAGAUAAUACUACCCCAUGGAAAGCAAUGACCAUAGUCUUUCUCCUUUACCCUGUUCCUUCCUGCAUUCCCGUCUGAACUCGCACUUUCCAUUCAAAUCGAUUGUCCUUGGGAUUUUGCAAAUAAAAAAAAUCUCUCCGGGGCUUAAAUGCUUGACCAAUGCACUCGACUAAAUGCGGUUGAAUAAGUCAUAUUUGCUUCCCACAUGUGCCUACAUAAAAGUGGAAGUAGGAUUUUCAGGGGCAAAAUCUAGCCACUAACAAGGUAGAUAGAUAAGAUACUCAUUACUCUGCCAAAAAAAGAAAGAAGGGUCGAUAUUCAUGUCUGCAUCCGCGUCGUCGGGAAGAAAACUAACUUAUCUUCUUCCACUGGCACCCAACUAUCACGCGAAAUGAAGAGUGAGUUCGCCAUUGUUAACGUUCACUUUUGCCCGAGGGGAAAAGAAAUAUAAGCAAAGAGGGGUGCCACAUUUAGUACCUGAAGCGAGUAACGACGUCGUGAAGGAAUACGGAUAUCUCUACUCUAGCUAGCUCCUAUGCAGGACAGAGUCGAGGCCCUCCUCCGAAUGCCAUAAAGAUGUUUCCGGGGUUGGCAAGCGAGAAUUGCUCUGCAUAUAAUUCAUAGUUAUCGAUCAUUGAAGAAAGAUCAUUUUUUUCAAGGUCGAACCAAGAUUCGCAGGAACGGAGAGAAGGACAGAGCAAUACCUGCCAUCUCCAUGGGUUAAAAGUUCGAGCUUCCUAGAACUGAUCUUGAUCUAGAUGCACGGUGCGAAACGAAGUGAAUACUUCCCAUCCUUUGGGAAUCGUUUAGCCCGCAUGAACAGAGAUAACCCAGCGAAUUAGAUCGAUCGGCCCAUACCCACAUGGAAUCAAAUCAAGAAAAUUCUCAUUUACCUUUCUCGUUGACAUCCGUCAUCACCCGCCACCUUUCUAAUGAUGUUUGCAACUGUUAGGAAUAACGGAUCACCGAAAACCGGAUUCGACACUAAAUCGAACCCCUAAAGCAAUGCGGAAGACAAAGCCCGGGAAAACACGUAUCACCGAUCGUAAAGCACACCACGGAUUCGAGCGUACCUUGUUAGCCACAGAUUAGACACUAAUGCCGAUGAUCGAGGAAGAAAUUCUGAUCCGAUGAUGUCAAUUUGCCUUGAAAGGGAGACCGGCGUCGCCUUAAGCGUACUGUUCUUGUUGGAGGGAGAGAGGGAGAGGAACGUACGUUCAUUGUGCCAACAAGUGUGUUCUCUCUCUCUCUCCUCCCUUUUAUACCUUCCCCCAUCCACGGGCCCUAUUCCUGUGGGCCGGGCCUUUUGGGCCCAGCAUGGGCGGACGGGCCUUAAGCCCAUUACCAAUUAAAACCAUCAUCUCCCACUCGCACAUGGUGGGCUGAACAGGAUUCUCUUUACCUCUCUUCAACAUUCAUACCGGUGAAUAAUCCGUGUGACUAGCAUACUUUGAGAGCUCGUUGCCAUACAUCUGUUAGGAAUAUAUAGCAGCUCAUAAUGGGCAUCACAUCCUGAGUAGAUUUAGUAUGCAGUACUAUAGAUCGAUCGAUCACGUUUAUAUCUCUCUUGAUCUCUUUUAAAAAAUGAUAUAUAUAUAUAUAUAUAUAUAUAUAUAUAUAUAUAUAUAUUGUAUUCACAAUUAUGAUUAUCCCAAAGACAGUCAUAAUUGGUUAACUGGUGAAUACAAAACUACAAUGUGAUUCUCCAAAAUCGAUCUUCCUCUUUCCUUCAAACUCUCAAUUUCAGUUCAGCUUGCUUUUCUAGAAAUGCCCCAUUAGAUUGAAUCAACUCAUGACUAUUGGCAACAUCCUAAGAUAGCAAACACUAAAUAGAAAUCUUGAGAAUAAGUAAGAGUCAUGAGGGGACUAAAAAAUUGAGGAACUCUUUUCCUCAAGAGUCUCACACGUCAUAAAAGUUGAGAUCAAAAUUUUUGCCACUCUUAUUGGUCGUCUCAUGCAUACGUAGUAUGAAAUACGUAUUACGGUAUUAACUCCUUUCCCAUGGAGCGUAUGUCUACACCUUUCAAUAUGUCUAACUUGAGUUCACGUAUCUACUCAUUCACAAAAUUCAUGAGAACUCACAUCUGGCAUCAUAGACAGAUAAAGUAAAAUAUGUGGGGUAUUUUACUUUCGGACAUAGUAAGUAUUAUGUCCUUAUCUUAACACCCAGUUAAGGCGACAUACGUAUUUUAAGCUUGAGCUCUCGAUUAUCACCUAGAUAAUAAGCUUAAAAACAGUCUCAUCUCUAUUUAUCACACAGUAAAUAUAGAUGAUUACCCGUGUGAGUGGGCUAAUAUUAUAUCUGUCCGACAUACUUUCUCAAUUUAAAGUAAUGCACUGAGCAUUAAGAUACAUAAAGAUCAAACAAAGAUUCAUAGGCAUCAAUGAUGAAAACACAAAUUCAUCAAAUGUGAACACUUAGGGAAAUUACAAUAUUCAGUACAUCAGCCUCUACACAAUCCUAGAGAUUUCAUAUGGCCACAAAACACAUCUCUAGAUAUUAGCUUUGUCAUAGGAUCUGCUACCAUUCUAUGCGUAGUAUAUACUCUAAGUUCACAUCUCUUCGUGCAAUCAUAUCCUUGACAAAAGUAUACUUGGUAUCUAUAUAUUUGGUCUUGCCAUGAUAUUUUGAAUAUUUGGUGUACAUUUUUGCUGCUUGGCUAUCACAGUUAACCAACAAUGAAUCUGCAGCACUUCUAAUAGCACCUAAAUGAUCCAAAAAAUCUCUUAAGCCAAACAUCUUCUUAUAUUGCUGUUGAUAAUGCCACGAACUCAGUUUCAAUCGUGGACAAGGCUAUACACUUUUGUUUCUUACUGCUCCAACAUAUGGUGCCAUUAUUCGGUAAGAAAACAAACCCAGAGGUAGAUUUCCUUUUAUUUAAAUCUCCUCCCCAAUCAGCAUCUGAAUAGCCUUUGAGUUGCAUAUCCUUUCCAUAAUAACUCAAUUAGCAGUCCCCUUUAGAUACCUUAGUAUUCAUUUAACGACCUUCCAAUAUGCUUGACCUGGAUUGGAUUGGUAUCUACUCACCAUUUCAACUGCAUACCAUAUGUCAGGUCUUGUACAUAUCAUAGCGUACAUCAAGCUCCCAACAUCACUAGCAUAAGGAAUAUAUUUCGUUUGUUCAUUCUCUUGUGGAGUCCUUGGACACAGUCUAUAGCUCAAUCCUUCACCUUUUGCAAUAGGAGUGUCUAUGGGUUUAAAAUCCCAUAUCCUUCAAUUCAAAAUUGGAAGACAACCAACUUUUGACAGUAUUGACAAGCUCCAUAUUGCUUCCGGCAAUUAGUAUAUCAUCAACAUAUAUGAUAUGAUCACAAAUAGAUCUUUGGAUCUUUUGAUAUAUAUACAAUGAUCCUCAUCUAUUAUUGUAAAAUCAUAUGCCAUUAUGGCAUUAUGAAAUCGUAUAUACCAUUGUCUUGACGACUGCUUAAGGCCAUAUAUCGACCUCAAAAGUCGACAUACCUUUUUCUUCUUGGCCUUUCACUAUGAAACCAGCAGGUUGUUCCAUAUACGUUCCUUCCUCUAAUUUUCCUGCAACAAAUGCAGAACCAAUAAAUGGAUCACUUAUAAUCCACAAUAAACAAAAUGGAAAAUACAUAAUUUUCCAUGAUUCAUGCAACAAAUGCAGAAUAAAAAAAGGAUUACCUCUAACCCAUACAGACAUAAUUGAAUUUUUUUUUUUUUUUUGGGUCAACGGUCGUCUGUCAACGGUUGCCGGUCGCCGGUCGUCGGACGUCAGACCGGUCGGACCGGACGGGCCGGUCGGUCCAGUUCGGGCAAACCGACGGCACGUGCCGCGCGCGUGCGCGGGCUGACGUCACGCAGACGUCAGCCGGCACGUGCCGCGCGCAUGCCGGGCGUCCGCGGUGUGGGUCAGGUCGGGUUGUUGGCCGGUGACCGCUUGGCCAACCGUCGUUGUGCUGACGUCAUCGAUGACGUCACCCUAGCGGUUACUGAUCGUUGGGUGACGUCAUGCUGACGUCAGCACGCAUCGGUCCGCCGAUCGGCGCGUGCCGGUUCACCGGCCGGUGGCGAGCAUGUGCCGGUUCGCCGACCGGCGCGUGUGUCGCACGCGUCGGGCGAGCCAGCGCUUCCAGGCGCGUCGCGCCCACGCGCAGCAGCUUCUGGCCGCGCAUGUGGCGUCGCCCAGUGGCGCAGGACAUGUCGCCGGACUUGCCUCGACGACCUCUUUCACCUAGUUCCUUUAGAAAUCGAUUUUGACUUACGGAAACACGAAAAAAUCAAUGAACAGUGCUCGGGUGUCGGGAUUUCUCGCCCCGAUCUGUGCCGGCCGAUUUUCUUCGCAAAAAUUCAAUCAAAAAACAUCAAACAGGUUGGGAAAACGUGAACUAAGGCUCUGAUACCAAUGUUGGGAAUAACGGAUCCCCGAAAAUCGGAUUCGACACUAAAUCGAACCCCUAAAGCAAUGCGGAAGACGAAACCCUGGAAAACACGUAUCACCGAUCGUAAAGCACACCACAGAUUCGAGCGUACCUUGUUAGCCACAGAUUAGACACCAAUGCCGAAGAUUGAGGAAGAAAUUCUGAUCCGAUGAUGUCAAUUUGCCUUGAAAGGGAGACCGGCGUCGCCUUAAGCGUACUGUUCUUGUUGGAGGGAGAGAGGGAGAGGAACGUACGUUCAUUGUGCCAACAGGUGUGUUCUCUCUCUCUCUCCUCCCUUUUAUACCUUCCCCCAUCCACGGGCUCUAUUCCUAUGGGCCGGGCCUUUUGGGCCCAGCAUGGGCGGACGGGCCUUAAGCCCAUCACCAAUUAAAACCAUCAGCAACCCGUAGAGUCUCAUUGAUAACUUGAAAACACAUGCAUAGCACAGCGUUAAAGUUCGGAAAGCUAAUAAAAGCAUCAUGCUUUUGCCAAACCCAUGGCCACGAGAAUGCUGUUGGAAUUACGCAUUGUGUAAAAGGCAGACACCAAAAUGAAGACCAAAAUGAUCAUCUUUGGAAUUUUUCAGAAACAACAACUAAAACAUCCUAGACCAUACGACAAAUGAGAAGCGGUUCCUCCAUCGGAUAUCUGUUUGGCUUGGAGAACCCGAGCCAAUUUCUGUUCGUGUUGCUUCUCCCUCCAAGGUCCUUCUAUUAUCAUUUUGUCUUGCAGGCUUUUUCAAAUUAAUCCAUGCGUUUGUAUGUUGAAGUCCUCUGUGGCAUUGGUUUGCUGUUUUCUUUCGCUGAGUGGAGAAACUGUGAUCCUUUCGACCUGCUACAUCAAUCCGCCUCCUACACCUCUAUCUCAAAUGGACUUGGGUUGGCAUUGGCAGGUACACACUAUAGUCGGAUAUCAUGGACGGAUUGUAGCUUACUACUACCGGUUGAAAUUGACUCGAAUUUUGUAUUGAACUAAGCAAAUGGAGGUUAUUUGGGUUUGCAGACAUGUAGCGAGAUUGCAUCCCUUUGGAGCAUCAACAACAAUACUAUGUUUCAACUAGCUCCCUCUGGUGAUCAGAAGACAGGUAUCUUGGUAAGCACAAGAACAACUGAACGCGAAUGUUCGAAUUUCUCUCUCGACAUGAAGAGCUUUUCUCUACCAUCAAUGGUAGUUUUACUUCUAAACCCUAAUGGUUAUAUCUCAACCCAACUUUCCUUCUCUGCUUCUCCACCAAACCCAUAAUUUCAUCGCACACAUGAGUCCGUUUACUUCUCAAUUGCUGUUCUCUGGUUCGAUUUGAUUUCUUUACUCCUUCUGGGUUUUUCCUCGUUCGAGUUCCAACGAUGAUUUCUUCUUCUCCCUGCAACGAUUGCUCUUCGGAUAGUAGUCAUACCUUGGUUUACGCACAUCCACUGUCGUGAAUAAUAGUUCAGCUCAACCAUCAGCACAAUUGACCAUCCCCUGUCCUUUUUACUUCGCCGAUUUUGCUCUGCAUGUACCAAUUCCAUGUGGCCUCAUCUUAAGUUCUUGUCUUCUCCCCUUUAAUCUUCAUUCGUUUCAUUUGGGGUUCUUUCUAUGGAUACUCCUGAACCGGAAGACGAAUGGCGCCUUGCUGCCCUCUGCAAUCGGAUGGGCCGUCUUUGGCCGGAACAAGAUAUAGACGUCUGGGAUGAACAGCUUCCGCUGGAACACAUCGACACAUGCAAGAAAACGUUAGUUGGUACAAUUCUCUCAAAUCCCUCAAUCAAUUUUACAGCAUUUCAGAGCACUUUAAAGCGCGCUUGGCGCAACGAGCAAGUUGAGAUUACACAACGAGAAACUAAUAUAUAUGUGGCGAAAUUCAAUUCCGAGAGUGACAAGCAGCGUGUGUUAGAGGGUGGUCCGUGGCAGUUUUCUAAUCAUCUAGUCAUAUUCAAACCUUGGAUAGCCAAUACACCCUUACAUUGUUACGAUUUCUCGACGUGCGCAUUUUGGGCCCAUGUCAUUGGACUUCCACUGGAGUGGUGUACUUACUAGAUGAUUUGCAAAGCUGUGAAACGUAUAGGUAGAGUGUUGGAGGUUAAGAGUGAUACAAAGGAUGGUGCAUUACUCAGAGCCGGGUGUGUUCGAGUUGAUAUUGAAUUGAGCCAACCACUCAAGAUGGGACAACUGAUUCGUAUAGAUUGCAAGACCAUAUGGAUUGAUUUUCGUUAUGAACGGCUCUCUCAUUUUUGCUAUUCCUGUGGUCGUUUGGGUCACUAUGCUAUGUACUGUCCAGCCAUCCUAUUCACUGAAGUGAAAAUGGAAGGAAAGGAAAAGAUGGCCUUUGGCCUGUGGCUUAAAGCAGAGGUUAAAAAAUAUAGUCCGUAUUGGCUCACCUUUUAUGGGGCCAAGGUCGAUCCUGUUGCGACUCCAUAAACUAUUCCUGAAACUCCUCCAUUCCAG